AGAUGAUUUCGAAGAGUUCAGACUACCGUGUAAAGUGACAGAGUGUUGUGUAUUGUAGAUUUAUAAGAUUAAUUAUUUCUGCUUUACAAGUAAGUUUAAUGUGUAAAAAUGUCUUCCUUUACAUUUGGAACGCCUACUAUAACGUCGAGUAGUUCAGGUUUUGGAUUCGGAACUCAAAGCACGUCCUUUACUUCAACAACUCCAGCAACUGGGUUAACAUUCGGAACAUCAACUCCAGCUACUACUACUGGCCUAACCUUUGGUUUCGGAGCAACACCGGCAACUUCUGCACCAAGUCAACCAGCUACCACCUUGUUAGGAGCAGGAACAGUCACGACAACGGCAACGCCUAAUUUAUUUUCAACUCCAACUACUUCUGCCCCUUUAUUUACAGGGCGUAAUUUUGGAACACCUGCUCAAAACACAACAUUAAAAGGACCUUUAAAUACUACACCUGCGACGGGAGGUUUAAUGUUUGGAACUGCUACUAGUGCACCAUCUUUGUUUGGUUCUAUUAGUAGUGGUGGUUUAGUAGGUACAAAAUUAACAACCACUACGACUACGACCUCGACCACAAGUAGAGGAUUAGGUGGAUUAGAUGUUUCUGUUAAUAAUAAAGGUCUUUCCCAAGGAAGCAAUAGUCCAACAGCUGCAAAAGAAAAUUUAUUACCAAAUGAACUGAUGCAAACCAUAGAUAAAUUCAAAGAAUUUGUAAAAACUCAGAAGGUUUUAUCUUCUGAUAUAGCAAGAGGUUCUGCGAGACCAUUAAAUCGCUGUGCAGAGGAUACUGCAUCAUUAAUGGAAAUUUUAACUACAUUAGCAGGAUCUGUUCAACGAGAUCGUGCUUUUGCCGAUAAGUUAAAGCAAGAUACAGCAAAAGCAUUACAAAAUGCGGAAAUAGCUCAAAGAACAAACGAUACACCACCUGGCUUACAAUAUGAAAAUAAUGCGCCGCUUCUAUUUUUCAUGGAAUUAACUGAGAAUUUCGAACAUGACUUAAUGUUAUUUAGAUCUCAAAUUGAAACAACAGAAAAACAUAUACAAACUAUGAUGACACCAAAGACCUUAACUCCACAAGAAUUAACUAUGGCUAUGAGUAAACUUCAUGAGUCUUUAGUUGCUGUUGCUGGAAAAUUGCAAGGUGUACAUUCAAAAGUACAACAACAAAAGGAACAAUAUUUAAAUUUUAGAAAAUACGUGUUAAAAGAUAACACAAAUGUUUUUGAUGAUGUUAAGACAAAUGACAAAUCAUUGCGGAACACUAUAGGAAGAAUUACUAGUGGUCCAACACCUUUUAGUCCAGGCAACAGAAGCUUCCUAUCUUCAACAGCAUUGAAUACCGCUCAAGCAACCAGUUAUGAUGCGCGAAAUCCUCUAGGUCUUGCGUGGAUCUAGUGUAAGGUAGAAAUUACUAACAUUUAACGUCCUUAUUAAGUACUGUAGACGUAAUAUAUACAAGACAUGAAUCUGCUCUGUGAUUUGUCUUUUUUAUAUAUAAUACAUAUAUAUAUUUUUUGUUUGUUUAUACAUAUUAUUUUUAUUAUUUGAUUUUAAUUUUGCGUUUGCAGGGGAAAAGUAGAGGCUGUAUUUUAGUUAUUGAGCUUCAGCUAAUUUUGGGGAACUACAACACCAGUCCCUUCUGCUAUAAAUACAACCAUAGAUUCAUCUGUCAAGCCACCAACAGCAAGCUUGAACUUCAACGCGCCAACAAAUCUUACUGCACCUUUGUCAACAAUUGAAUCAAAUUCGAGUUUCCAACUGCAAAAACCACCGAUUGGAAAUAAAAGAGGGAAACAUUAAUUUUA